GUAGGUGGCAAGCGUUGUCCGGAAUUAUUGGGGCGUAAAGCGCGCGCAGGCGGUUCUUUAAGUCUGAUGUGAAAGCCCACGGGCUCAACCGUGGAGGGUCAUUGGAAACUGGAGAACUUGAGUACAGAAGAGGAAAGCGGAAUUCCACGUGUAGCGGUGAAAUGCGUAGAGAUGUGGAGGAACACCAGUGGCGAAGGCGGCUUUCUGGUCUGUAACUGACGCUGAGGCGCGAAAGCGUGGGGAGCAAACAGGAUUAGAUACCCUGGUAGUCCACGCCGUAAACGAUGAGUGCUAAGUGUUAGGGGGUUUCCGCCCCUUAGUGCUGCAGCUAACGCAUUAAGCACUCCGCCUGGGGUGUACGGCCGCAAAGGCUG
rnacentral:rRNA from 1 species